AUACGGAGGGUGCGAGCGUUAAUCGGAAUUACUGGGCGUAAAGCGCACGCAGGCGGUCUGUUAAGCUAGAUGUGAAAGCCCUCAGCUCAACUGAGGAAUUGCAUCCAAAACUGCCGUGCUUGAGGGAGACAGAGGUGAGCGGAACUCAAGGUGGAGCGGUGAAAUGCGUUGAUAUCUUGAGGAACACCGGUGGCGAAAGCGGCUCACUGGGUCUCUUCUGACGCUGAGGCACGAAAGCUAAGGUAGCAAACGGGAUUAGAUACCCUGGUAGUCCACACCGUAAACGAUGAAUGCCAGUCGUCGGCAAGUAUACUUGUCGGUGACACACCUAACGGAUUAAGCAUUCCGCCUGGGGAGUACGGUCGCAAGAUUAAAACUCAAAUGAAUUGACGGGGGCCCGCACAAGCGGUGGAGCAUGUGGUUUAAUUCGAUGCAACGCGAAGAACCUUACUACACUUGACAUGCAGAGAACUUUC
rnacentral:rRNA from 1 species